GCAUCAGGCGGCAUGUGAAGGUUCAGUCGUAGCUCCGUUAGACGCUGGCGGGAUGCUUUACACAUGCAAAUUGAACGGCAGCACGGACUUCGGUCUGGUGGCGAGUGGCGAACGGGUGAGUAAUGUAUCGGAACGUGCCUGAAUGGCGGGAAUGCUUUACGCGAAGGCAUAGCUAAUACCACCAUACGCCCUUCAGAAGGCAGGGACCUUCCCGGGCCUCGCACUAUUAGAGCAGCCGAUAUCGGAUUGGCUAGUUGAGUGGGGUAACGGCUCGCAAAGGCGACGAUCCGUAGCUGGUUUGAGAGGACGAUAGCCACUGGGACUGAGACACGGCCCAGACUCCUACGGGAGGCAGCAGUGGGGAAUUUUGGACAAUGGGGGGAAACCUGAUCCAGCCAUCCCGCGUGUGCGAUGAAGGCCUUCGGGUUGUAAAACACUUUUGGCAGGAAAGAAACGCGCAGGGAUAAUACCCCCGUCACAGCCCAAUGAUGCGCCUGCGAAUCGCACCGGCUAACUACGUACCAGCAGCGCGGUAAUACGUAGGGUGCAAGCGUUAAUCGGAAUUACUGGGCGUAAAGCGUGCGCAGGCGGUUCGGGAAAGAAGAUGUGAAAUCCCCAGAGCUUAACUUUGGAACUGCAUUUUUAACUUCCACCGAGCUAGAAAUUGUGUCAGAGGGGAGGUGGAAUUCCGCGUGUAGCAGUGAAAUGCGUAGAUAUGCGGAGAAGGAACACCGAUGGCGAAGGCAGCCUCUGGGAUAACACUGACGCUCAUACACAGCGGUAAGGGCAAACAGGAUUAGAUACCCUGGUAGUCCACGCCCUAAACGAUGUCAACUAGCUGUUGGGGCCUUCGGGCCUUGGUAGCGCAGCUAACGCGUGAAGUUGACCGCCUGGGAGGUACGAUCGCAAGAUUAAAACUCAAAGGAAUUGACGGGGACCCGCACACAAGCGGUGGAUGAUGUGGAUUAAUUCGAUGCAACGCGAAAAACCUUACCUACCCUUGACAUGUGGAAUCCCGAAGAGAUUUGGGAGUGCUCGCAAGAGAAUCGGAACACAGGUGCUGCAUGGCUGUCGUCAGCUCGUGUCGUGAGAUGUUGGGUUAAGUCCGCAACGAGCGCAACCCUUCGUCAUUAGUUGCUACGAAAGGGCACUCUAAUGGGGAUACCGGUGAUAAACCGGAGGAAGGUGGGGAUGACGUCAAGUCCUCAGCAUGGCCCAUAUAGGUAGGGCUUCACACGUCAUACAAUGGUCGGGACAGAGGGUCGCCAACCCGCGAGAGGCCAAUCCAGAGAAACCCGAUCGUAGUCCGGAUCGCAGUCGCAGCUCGACUGCGUGAAGUCGAAUCGCUAGUAAUCGCGGAUCAGCAUGUCGCGGUGAAUACGUUCCCGGGUCUUGUACACACCGCCCGUCACACCAUGGGAGUGGGUUUUACCAAGUAGUUAGCUAACCGUAAGGAGGGCGAUUAUUAAGUUCAUGACUGGGGUGAAGUCGUAACAAGGUAA
rnacentral:rRNA from 1 species